UAUAUAUAUAUAAGCGAUUGCAUUUGUACUGUACUAAAAAAUAAUAUACAAAACGUGAAGGUACCUUCGUGGCCCACCGCAUUACAUGCCUUGUGUGCACUUCUAUUACUGUGUUAGCACAUGGGGUGUUCUUCUCCAGCUAGCUUUGAUUUUCCUGUUCAUCUACACGACAUAAGUGAAAAGUGAGGCCAAACAUAUGGAAUUUUAUUCUUGACAUCGAAUGUGUUGUUAAAGUAUUACUAGAUAUUCCAUAAAGACACGAUUAAUUGAAAUCACAUACCAUGGCUUUAGUAGACGACAACAAUACUCAAAGGCACGAGAGCAUGAGCAGGUUUAUUUCACUCACGAGGACAAAGCACAGUUUUGCUUCAAUACAACUAGUUCAGAGGAAAAACUUGAGCAGCGUGAACUUUUAUCCCAAGAGCCCAUUAUCCAUGCUCGGAGAUAGCCUUCACCUUCAUGCUAUGGCAAGAGCUGUCCGCCUUCUCUCUCGCGACUGAAGCUUCAUGUCGGGAUGUGCGUAAAUGAGGGCAGAGUGACACUUUGGCAUCUCAGGUGUUGGACCGUGAAGGUCUCUUUCGCCCGGGCGAAUUUCCAUAUGGUUGUCCCUGACAGGUCGGGGAGAAAAAAAAGGUUAACCCAUUAUACCCUUUUGUAGUAAGAAAAUUCCUGGUGCCUUUCAAGCCUAAGCAGUUCGGGUAAAUAACUACACAUGAUGGAGGCUCUCCACUCCCUGGAUGGCCGGAUGCAUGGAGGAUCUUUGUUCAUAUUGACAGGGAAAUUGGAGUUCUAACUAAGGCCCCUAAGAGCUCGAUAUUUAUCUAUUGAACAUAUGUGACAUGAAGGGAGCGCACGCCUCCGGCGGCUAGGGUUUGGGCGCCAUCCGAGUCGCCCUAGCAGGGAUGACGCGGGGGCUGAAGGGGAACCACCUCGACAUGCAUCGAGUAUUGAUUGAUCGUGGAUGGGGCUGAUAGAUAAAUAGAUAGAUAGAAGAUGAGCCGUCGCCGGAGCACUAGAGCGCGCUCUGCCCAUAUAUUGGACGGUCCUCAGAGUCAUCUCGGUCUGGCCCAAGCUCGACCGUUGCCGGUCUGGUUCAUGAAAACAGGACCGCGACACUGGUCGGUCUGGUCUGGACCGGACUGCCGGCGGCCGGUCCAAACGCUGGCUCGGACAGUGUCCUCCCUAAGACAUGCUCAUUAGAGACAAGCUCCGAAAAUGCAGAAUGCAGAACAUAAAAAUCUCCAAAAAUGGUAAAUCUACUCCAGUAUUGCUCCUUGUAAAACUUAUUGGAGAUAGUGGCGACGAUUGCUAGCAAUGGCCAUUAAUUUGCUCUAAACUUCUAUGCAGUCGUUGAUUGGCCCAAGCUAUGUAUAAAUCAGGACAAUACGUGCUCAUGGGAGACAUGUUGAGGUAAAUUAUGGCCAAUACAUGCACAUGGGAGGGAGAGAGGAACUGUGGCAUGUGUAGGUCCUAGAUGGAAGGAAAUCGUGGGAGGUGAGCACAACGGUGAGCUAUCAUGUUUGAGUCUGCUGUAGAUUUCACAUUUUUUUCCUGUUCUAUUGGAAGAUUGCAACUAAGCUGAAACGUCAACAAAAUCAUGGAAGAAUUCUUUUAAGGGAUGCAUAAACAUCCAUAGCAGAAAGAUCAUCCAAGAAGAUAUAUCUGGAAAGUUUGCUUGUUCGAAACUAAGUUUUUGCAGCAAAGGAUCGGACUGAAACCAUUAUAGAGAUCAUGGAGAAAGGUGCUGGUGUGUUGUGCAAUUGAAUAUAAAUCUAGGGAGGAGAGAGAUAUCCGGAGGAGAAACAUAAGGUGGUGUCAAGGGGAUUAGGAGAUUCGAGUUGAGGCAUGCCGACGUUGUAUCGAGGAGAUUGUGCACAUACAGGAACUAGCGAGGGAGAUGAUGGAGAAAGAAGGCAGGACGCUGUGCUGACCUACCGACGUUGUAUAGAGAAGACUGUGCCCAUACCGGUGCUAGCGAAGGAGAUGAUGGAGAAAGAAGGCCAGACGAUCUAUGCUGUUAGAUCAAUUUGAAUUUACCGUUGUACUAUUGUUGGAAUCCUCGUCCGAUGUUUGAAUCCCAUGGAGGAACUAGGGAAACAAAUCCAAUUAUUUUAUUUUGAUAGACAAAGUGACAAUAUCAAGGCAGAGUGUAUCAUUUCACUCAUGAAGUUAGUACACAUGAGUAUGAAUUUCUGUUAGUCAUACACUAGAGGAAGAACGACCUCCUCGCCGUUGGCACAUAUGCACCUGAGAUUCCUUUGUACCUUCAUGUGUUGAGAUGCCAACAAGUCUUUUUUGAGAAAUUUGGUCAAUAUGUUGGAUAUGGAGGCAAGCUACACUAGAUCAUAGCUUCUAGUUAUUGACUACUACCUAAUCAUGAAUCUUCUCAUUGCCGCCAGCACCAUAAAUUGCCACCAGGCACUCGUCACCGUCACCACUGUCAGCGGAUCACCACUGAACCACCGCUAGACUAUGUCAUGAGCGAUGGCGGAGUUACAAACAUUGAUAAUGUCCGAAAGACGGAAUUCAUCUGUUACAACAUUCUACCAUGUAACACGUCGUCGUCCCAUUGCAACGGCAGCCCACCGGCGUCAUCUUUGUCUCCUGUAGACAAACGAUGUGGCAGGUGGAUGCAACAAUAAGUUACUGAACUAUCGAGCGCCCAUCCGGACAGUUCUACCCUCCGACAUUUCAUCGUAGGAAGACAACAUUUUAUACAUGAUACUUGAUGGUUUGGAACGAUAAAUGAAAACAAGGUGAAAAACAUGGGCGAUGCAGAGGCAAGGGUUUUCACAUGAUACUUGAUGGUUUGGAAAGAUAGACGUAAACAACUUGAAAGGAAUGUGAUGCCUACAGGAUAUAUACAUGUAUAUGAGUUUAGCACUUUAGCUCAACUAUGAUUCACAUGAGGUAGGAACGAUUCUAGUUAGGCCGUGAGACAAUUGAUGUAAGAUGAACUUAGGUUCCGACAUUUCGACGAAGGUCGCAGGUACAGGUACGACAAACCAUCCAUGUUAGAAUGAACCGAGUGAUACUAUGCGAUGUUGGGAAUGGACAGGUGUGUGUAGAUGCGAUGAGAUACGACGGAUCACUAAUUUGUUUUCCAUAUCACAGGGCGGAGGCCCACAUCGGAGACACCUCACUUGGAAUAAGCUAACAAUAAGUCUCUCCCCAUCGAAGAAAAUCACAAUAAUUUUCCUUUGGUCAGGCCAGAAUAAUAAAAUUGGUUAACAAACCUCGCCUCAUAGCCAUAUAGCCGUUCCUGGUGUCUUUCAAGCCUACACAAUUCUUUUGACAGACGCUUUCCACUCUCUAGACCUAUGGAGGAUCUCUAUCCAUCAUUGCUAAAGGAAACUGGAAUUCGAACUCAGAAGUUGGGGAGAGACUGAUACGUAUGUAUCGACUGUGUAUAGUGACAUGACGGUGCCUCCUUGGCCCACAACAUUAUUUUAGCACAUCUCUCACGAGUUUAAUUUGAUAUCUUUUAAACCUACACAACGGUGCCUCCUUUCAGCCUACACAAUUCCUCUGAAAAAUGUUUUCCACUCUCUCAAGAUAUAUAGGGAGAUCUCUAUCUAUAAUUGCUAGAGGAAAU
rnacentral:lncRNA from 1 species